AGGAGGGAGAGCACAUUGAAACUGGC
rnacentral:piRNA from 1 species